rnacentral:rRNA from 1 species
GACGAACGCUGGCGGCGUGCUUAACACAUGCAAGUCGAACGGAAAGGCCCUGCUUUUGUGGGGUGCUCGAGUGGCGAACGGGUGAGUAACACGUGAGUAACCUGCCCUUGACUUUGGGAUAACUUCAGGAAACUGGGGCUAAUAACGGAUAGGAGCUCCUGCUGCAUGGUGGGGGUUGGAAAGUUUCGGCGGUUGGGGAUGGACUCGCGGCUUAUCAGCUUGUUGGUGGGGUAGUGGCUUACCAAGGCUUUGACGGGUAGCCGGCCUGAGAGGGUGACCGGCCACAAUGGGACUGAGAUACGGCCCAGACUCCUACGGGGGGCAGCAGUGGGGAAUAUUGCACAAUGGGCGGAAGCCUGAUGCAGCAACGCCGCGUUCGGGAUGACGGCCUUCGGGUUGUAAACCGCUUUCGCCUGUGACGAAGCGUGAGUGACGGUAAUGGGUAAAGAAGCACCGGCUAACUACGUG